UCCAUAUAGGUGAUCGGAUCCUCAUCAUUCUCAUCAAGUUCAAUGAGAUCACCAUUCUGAAUCAAGAAACUAUAGUAUCUGUCUAGCUGAUGCGAUACUCUACUGGAUUUUAUUAAUGGUGCCUCUACUAGCUCUAAAUUCUAUUCACCAAUCAAAUCUAAUUCUGUAUGUGUCGGUCCUUCUACCUCAUGAACUUCAUCAAGUUCAAUUUUAUAGGAAUUAGCUCCUUCACCAAGGAACUCUUUUUCCAAAAAGACUAUCCGACUGCUAACAAACACCUUUUGUUCUGC
rnacentral:lncRNA from 1 species